rnacentral:tRNA from 1 species
UGGAAUGUGGCUUAGUGGUAGAGUGCUUGCCUAGCAUGCAUGAAGCCCUGAGUUCAAUUCCUCAGUACCAC